AGUACCACGUGGGCAAUCUACCUUUCGGUGAGGAAUACCGGCGAGAAAUCGCCGACAAUACCGCAUACGCUCGGGCAACCGAGCAAAGUCGCAAGACGCUGGAGGAGGAGCCUGCGCCCGAUUAGCUAGUUGGUGGAGUAAUGGUCUACCAAGGCGACGAUCGGUAGCUGGUCUGAGAGGAUGAUCAGCCACACUGGGAUUGAGAACGGCCCAG
rnacentral:rRNA from 1 species